AGAGUUUGAUCAUGGCUCAGAUUGAACGCUGGCGGCAGGCCUAACACAUGCAAGUCGAGCGGUAGCACAGAGAGCUUGCUCUCGGGUGACGAGCGGCGGACGGGUGAGUAAUGUCUGGGAAACUGCCUGAUGGAGGGGGAUAACUACUGGAAACGGUAGCUAAUACCGCAUAAUGUCGCAAGACCAAAGUGGGGGACCUUCGGGCCUCAUGCCAUCAGAUGUGCCCAGAUGGGAUUAGCUAGUAGGUGGGGUAACGGCUCACCUAGGCGACGAUCCCUAGCUGGUCUGAGAGGAUGACCAGCCACACUGGAACUGAGACACGGUCCAGACUCCUACGGGAGGCAGCAGUGGGGAAUAUUGCACAAUGGGCGCAAGCCUGAUGCAGCCAUGCCGCGUGUGUGAAGAAGGCCUUCGGGUUGUAAAGCACUUUCAGCGGGGAGGAAGGCGGUGAGGUUAAUAACCUCAUCGAUUGACGUUACCCGCAGAAGAAGCACCGGCUAACUCCGUGCCAGCAGCCGCGGUAAUACGGAGGGUGCAAGCGUUAAUCGGAAUUACUGGGCGUAAAGCGCACGCAGGCGGUCUGUCAAGUCGGAUGUGAAAUCCCCGGGCUCAACCUGGGAACUGCAUUCGAAACUGGCAGGCUAGAGUCUUGUAGAGGGGGGUAGAAUUCCAGGUGUAGCGGUGAAAUGCGUAGAGAUCUGGAGGAAUACCGGUGGCGAAGGCGGCCCCCUGGACAAAGACUGACGCUCAGGUGCGAAAGCGUGGGGAGCAAACAGGAUUAGAUACCCUGGUAGUCCACGCCGUAAACGAUGUCGAUUUGGAGGUUGUGCCCUUGAGGCGUGGCUUCCGGAGCUAACGCGUUAAAUCGACCGCCUGGGGAGUACGGCCGCAAGGUUAAAACUCAAAUGAAUUGACGGGGGCCCGCACAAGCGAUGGAGCAUGUGGUUUAAUUCGAUGCAACGCGAAGAACCUUACCUGGUCUUGACAUCCACAGAACUUUCCAGAGAUGGAUUGGUGCCUUCGGGAAC
rnacentral:rRNA from 1 species